rnacentral:tRNA from 2 species
GGCCCCAUGGUCAAGUGGUUAAGACAUCGCCCUUUCAAGGCGGUAACACGGGUUCGACUCCCGUUGGGGCCACCA